rnacentral:piRNA from 2 species
UGAAUAAAAUCUGGAUUCUAUUCUUGUUGA